rnacentral:rRNA from 1 species
GCGCGAAAACUUUACAAUGCUGGCAACAGCGAUAAGGGAACCUCGAGUGCCAGGCUACAAAUCUGGCUGUCGAGAUGCCUGAAAAGCAUUUCAUAGCAAGGGCCGGGCAAGACCGGUGCCAGCCGCCGCGGUAACACCGGCGGCUCGAGUGGUAACCGUUAUUAUUGGGUCUAAAGGGUCUGUAGCCGGCCGGAUAAGUCUCUUGAGAAAUCUGGCAGCUUAACUGUCAGGCUUUCAGGAGAUACUGUCUGGCUCGAGGCCGGGAGAGGUGAGAGGUACUUCAGGGGUAGGGGUGAAAUCUUGUAAUCCUUGAAGGACCACCAGUGGCGAAGGCGUCUCACCAGAACGGACCUGACGGCAAGGGACGAAAGCUAGGGGCACGAACC